CGCGGGGUGGAGCAGGACGGUAGCUUGCCGGGCUCAUAACCCGAAGGUCGCAGGUUCAAAUCCCGUGCCCGCAACCA
rnacentral:tRNA from 1 species